AAUCUUCCACAAUGGACGAAAGUCUGAUGGAGCAACGCCGCGUGAGUGAAGAAGGUUUUCGGAUCGUAAAGCUCUGUUGUGAGGGAAGAACAAGUACAGGAGUCACUGUCUGUACCUUGACGGUACCUCACCAGAACGCCACGGCUAACUACGUGCCAGCAGCCGCGGUAAUACGUAGGUGGCAAGCGUUGUCCGGAAUUAUUGGGCGUAAAGCGCGCGCAGGCGGUCCUUUAAGUGUGAUGUGAAAGCCCACGGCUCAAACGUGGAGGGUCAUUGGAAAAUGGAGGACUUGAGUACAGAAGAGGAAAGCGGAAUUCCACGUGUAGCGGUGAAAUGCGUAGAGAUGUGGAGGAACACCAGUGGCGAAGGCGGCUUUCUGGUCUGUAACUGACACUGGGGUGCGAAAGCGUGGGGAGCAAAC
rnacentral:rRNA from 1 species